rnacentral:tRNA from 1 species
GCCGAUAUAGCUCAGUUGGUAGAGCAGCGCGCAUUCGUAAUGCGAAGGUCGUAGGUUCGACCCUAUUAUCGGCACCA